GUUAAUUCGAUUAAUGUUAUUUCGGGUCGGUUAACCGAAUGAACACCCCUAGCUGAAGUUGUUGGAAUAAGUGAUGAUGAUCAAUCAUCACACAAGGUAAUAAUAAUACUAAUCGUGUCCAACACACCCGAGUAUCAUGUAAAAUCCAUCUCUUUUGAGAUUUUCUUCUGAAAACAAAGUCAUCUAUGGAAUCUGAAUUCUUAUUAUGUGUGAUAAUUAGAUAUUCUAUUUGUCUACGUGAAUUUCUGAUGGUGCUCCAUACUGGAUACUUGUUCAUGUUAUACCAUGUCCACCGACCGAUGUUCGUAAAUUAACCGAUGAUCAGCUUGACUUUUUCAUAUGGUAUUUUGCCAAGAGAUAUGGACUUCAGUUUACGUUGCAGAGCGAUGAGGGAAACAAGGUCAGGAAAGCGUGGGGAGUAGAAGAGGUAAAAGGGCAAACCCCAUAGCCAAUAAUGUGGAACAGUCGCACGGUUGCCCUUCGGGUCCUUCAUGCAACAUGGGAAAUCAAUAUCUUUCUAAUCAUUUUCAAUAUUCACGAAAGAAAAUAAAUCAAUUUCCGUGCCAACUCAUGCCAUUGUCAUCUCUAAUAUUAUUGAGUGAACCACUUACCAGCUCUGGUCUUAAAGUCAAAGUUAAAUAACAAAACCCUAAUGCGACACAUGCAGAAAUUAUUAUUAUUGACUUUCAAAGGCAAAGACGAACGUUCAUGUCUGUUCUUGAUUUGUUCGUCCAUUUCUUCAAUCAUAAAAGUCUAAAUUGUGUUACUAACCCUACAUUCAGUCAUCCAGAAUCCUUAAUGCAUUUGAAAUCAUAGUUUAAUUUUGUUUAAUCAAAGGUAAAUCCACUUCUUUGGUACAAACAAAGAAAAAGUAUGACGAUUUCAUUUUCCCAAUUUUUGGUUUAGUGGAACUAAAAUAUUUCUUAUAUUUGUUUUAUGUUCCAUACAUAUUAAUCUUUCCAUAGUUUAU
rnacentral:lncRNA from 1 species